rnacentral:rRNA from 1 species
UUUUCCCGUAAGGGGACCUGCGGAGGGAUCAUUACACAAAUAUGAAGGAGGGCGGGAAUCUCUCGGGGUUACAGCCUUGCUGAAUUAUUCACCCUUGUCUUUUGCGUACUUCUUGUUUCCUUGGUGGGUUCGCCCACCACUAGGACAAACAUAAACCUUUUGUAAUUGCAAUCAGCGUCAGUAACAAAUUAAUAAUUACAACUUUCAACAACGGAUCUCUUGGUUCUGGCAUCGAUGAAGAACGCAGCGAAAUGCGAUAAGUAGUGUGAAUUGCAGAAUUCAGUGAAUCAUCGAAUCUUUGAACGCACAUUGCGCCCUUUGGUAUUCCAAAGGGCAUGCCUGUUCGAGCGUCAUUUGUACCCUCAAGCUUUGCUUGGUGUUGGGCGUCUUGUCUCUAGCUUUGCUGGAGACUCGCCUUAAAGUAAUUGGCAGCCGGCCUACUGGUUUCGGAGCGCAGCACAAGUCGCACUCUCUAUCAGCAAAGGUCUAGCAUCCAUUAAGCCUUUUUUCAACUUUGACCUCGGAUCACGCAGAGAGACAAGCUGAACCUAAGCAUAUCAAUAGCCGGGAGGAAA